rnacentral:rRNA from 1 species
AUUGAACGCUGGCGGCAUGCCUUACACAUGCAAGUCGAACGGCAGCACGGGGGCAACCCUGGUGGCGAGUGGCGAACGGGUGAGUAAUACAUCGGAACGUGCCCUGAAGUGGGGGAUAACGUAGCGAAAGUUACGCUAAUACCGCAUAUUCUGUGAGCAGGAAAGCAGGGGAUCGCAAGACCUUGCGCUUUAGGAGCGGCCGAUGUCGGAUUAGCUAGUUGGUGGGGUAAAAGCUCACCAAGGCGACGAUCCGUAGCGGGUCUGAGAGGAUGAGCCGCCACACUGGGACUGAGACACGGCCCAGACUCCUACGGGAGGCAGCAGUGGGGAAUUUUGGACAAUGGGCGCAAGCCUGAUCCAGCCAUGCCGCGUGAGUGAAGAAGGCCUUCGGGUUGUAAAGCUCUUUUGGCCGGGAAGAAAUCGCACGGGAUAAUACCCUGUGUGGAUGACGGUACCGGAAUAAGAAGCACCGGCUAACUACGUGCCAGCCGCCGCCGUAA